rnacentral:rRNA from 1 species
AUACGUAGGGGGCGAGCGUUGUCCGGAAUGAUUGGGCGUAAAGGGCGCGUAGGCGGCCCGGUAAGUCUGGAGUGAAAGUCCUGUUUUUAAGAUGGGAAUUGCUUUGGAUACUGUCGGGCUUGAGUGCAGGGGAGGUAAGUGGAAUUCCCAGUGAAGCGGUGAAAUGCGUAGAGAUUGGGAGGAACACCAGUGGCGAAGGCGACUUACUGGACUGUAACUGACGCUGAGGCGCGAAAGUGUGGGGAGCAAACAGGAUUAGAUACCCUGGUAGUCCACACUGUAAACGAUGAAUACUAGGUGUCGGGUUUCUAUAGAGAUUCGGUGCCGCAGCAAACGCAAUAAGUAUUCCACCUGGGGAGUACGUUCGCAAGAAUGAAACUCAAAGGAAUUGACGGGG